CAGGUCUGAAGGCGAAAGUUCAAGAAGCAUCAGGUCUAUAAAUACUCUGCACCAGUUUUGCUGUCCAGCUCCAUUGUACCAUACCCAGCUAACUGUCCCUGCCACACACUCAGAGUACAGUGAUGCCUGUGAAAACAAAAAGAUAUUGCAAAGGAUGUUAUAGUACCAAAGAAACCCCAUCAUUUUCUUGCAGUCUACUUGCAUAAUGUUUAAGCAACACCUCUAUGAGCGUGCUAUUUAGUUAAAGGAAAUGGCCACUGGUGGUGGUGUUACUGGUAAAGAAGUGACAUCGUGCAAGCUUCCUGCUAAGCCGACAUCCCUUCCUCUACUUCCUCCCACCAUAGAGUACAAUAUAGCAUUACAGAUGGAAGAUAAUGUUCUCCACCAGUUCUGUUGUCCACCUUCUGGGUCUAGUAGUCCAUCUUCAAGAUAACAGAGAAGCUCUGGGUCGCUAAGUGUGCAGAGUGCUACAUCUGUAUUUUUCAUCUUUCUCCUCCUCUUUCUCUCACUGGUGUGUAUGAGACUUACACGAUUAUGGAAACACCUGAGAUUCUGGUUUACAUAAAGUUUAAAAAUAAUCAGGAUGGCACAGCCAUAAUUUUUUUGCUAGGAAUGUCUGAUUAUUUUCCUUCUGCUCUUUCUCCUCCAAGUUUUCAUUUCUCCCAGCAGUAUGUCCAGCAUUUAAAUUUCAUAGGAAGUGUAAACAAUAUGUAAAAUGUAUAAUAUAUUUUGAAUUAAAAUAAACAGUGCCAUAAACUUUGCA